AUAGAGUCCUUGUUCUUUUACACGCUUUCACAGAUCCUCCUAGAAUUUCAACACUUGGCGUCGUUUUUGUGAACCUCCACUCUCAUCACAAUGAUUGGAAUUCUGUAGAAAGAUUGAUCAUGCCGCGUUGUUCUAAGCAGUGGUAGGAACUCACAGAAAGACUUUUAAAAAUAUUAAGAUGAAUCUGUCAGAGAGCCACCCUUGGGACUGUGAGGGACCCUUGGCCUCCAACCAAUGAUCGGGUCUCUGACAAACAUGAGCCAGUGCCAUACCUUGAAAAAGAAAUAAGGUGAAGGGUUCAUCCAGAGUCACCACAGUUGAACUGAUGGACUGGUAAGAAGUGAAGAAGUCCUGAUAAUUAUUUAUCAGUCAUUCUUGUAAUUAGG
rnacentral:lncRNA from 1 species